GACGAACGCUGGCGGCGUGCCUAAUACAUGCAAGUCGAGCGAACGGACGAGAAGCUUGCUUCUCUGAUGUUAGCGGCGGACGGGUGAGUAACACGUGGAUAACCUACCUAUAAGACUGGGAUAACUUCGGGAAACCGGAGCUAAUACCGGAUAAUAUUUUGAACCGCAUGGUUCAAAAGUGAAAGACGGUCUUGCUGUCACUUAUAGAUGGAUCCGCGCUGCAUUAGCUAGUUGGUAAGGUAACGGCUUACCAAGGCAACGAUGCAUAGCCGACCUGAGAGGGUGAUCGGCCACACUGGAACUGAGACACGGUCCAGACUCCUACGGGAGGCAGCAGUAGGGAAUCUUACGCAAUGGGCGAAAGCCUGACGGAGCAACGCCGCGUGAGUGAUGAAGGUCUUCGGAUCGUAAAACUCUGUUAUUAGGGAAGAACAUAUGUGUAAGUAACUGUGCACAUCUUGACGGUACCUAAUCAGAAAGCCACGGCUAACUACGUG
rnacentral:rRNA from 1 species